UUUCCGUAGGUGAACCUGCGGAAGGAUCAUUAAAAGAUUCAGCAUAUUCUUCUGAAUAUACUUCAUUAACCCAUUCCGAGUACCUUACCCGUUGCUUCCGCGAGGCUGUCCUCACGGCCCUUUGAAGAUUUAUCUUUGGAGAGUCCUUGCGGGGGGUAUACAAUAAACUCUUGCAUUACCAUGUCAUCUGUCUGAAUCUGUUUAAAACAAAUAUUAAAACUUUCAACAACGGAUCUCUUGGUUCUC
rnacentral:misc_RNA from 1 species